CAGAAAAUGAGAGACGAAUUUAUAUUGAAUCUCUUCAUUGAUAAGAACAGGAGGCAUAGUAAUAAUGGCGAGAUAUCGUUUCAGUCGUCAUAUAAUCAGAUUGACGAUUCGAUUGUUGCUCGUCUACAU